rnacentral:rRNA from 1 species
AAUAACAAGGAUUCCCUUAGUAACGGCGAGUGAACAGGGAUGAGCCCAGCACCGAAGCCUUUGGCCAUUUGGUCACUAGGCAAUGUGGUGUUUAGGUUGGUCCGCAGAGGCACUGCUCCACUCUGAGUCCAGCAAUGAGUAUGGUAGCAUGGACAUGGCCCAUUGAGGGUGAAAGGCCCGUAAGGGUGGAGUUCAAGCAGGCCAGUGCCUCUCUGGAUUGACCUAAGAGUCGGGUUGUUUGUGAAUGCAGCCCAAAGUGGGUGGUAAACUCCAUCCAAGGCUAAAUACAAGCACGAGUCCGAUAGCGAACAAGUACCGUGAGGGAAAGUUGAAAAGUACUUUGAAGAGAGAGUAAACAGUGCGUGAAACCGCUCAGAGGUAAACGGGUGGAGUUGAACUGCAUGCUCCGUGAAUUCAGCUGGUGAGAUUGUUGUGGGCUUGGUCAAGUGGGGUAGACACUGAGGUAUGCUUAGCUGCAUGUCCCGGCCUACAGGUUGGGAUGCGCGAUACGCUCAUCAUGCGUUGCGCGCCUCUGUUGUUUAUCUGCCCUCUCGCCGGUGCAUUUUCGCGGAGUGAUCACCAAGAUCGGCGUUGCUGUCCGGCUGCUUCAGUUAAACCGGUCUUACGCGUCCUUGCGGCGUUGUUUGGUCGGGACGGCAGGUAGCCUGUUAGCUUGCUCUGCUUGCUUUCGGGUAUAAUCAGCUGACUGAGGCGGGACUGUGCAGUGCGUCGGAGCUGGCGGCCAGUUGUGCAUGCUCGUGUGUCAUGCCUUCCGAAGGAUCCUGUUUUGAUCGCUAUGUUGCCUGUUUCGGCGGGUCUAGCGGUAGACGGGGUUCUAUUGGUUGGUGGUUCCGCGGGUUGCACUUUACAGGGCCAAAAGUCUUUGGUGUCGUGGUAGACUAUCCACCUGACCCGUCUUGAAACACGGACCAAGGAGAGUAACAUGUGCGCGAGUCAUUGGGCGUAACGAAACCCAAAGGCGUAGUGAAAGUAAAGGACUGGCUUGUCCAGUCUGAGGUGAGAUCCUGUCGUUUCUCAUGCGUGGUACCACCAAGCUUGGAGCGAUAGGCGCAUCACCGGCCCGUCCCAUGAUGUAGACACGGUCAUUGUACUCGUGCACCGUCGGGGCGGAGCAUGAGCGCACACGUUGAGACCCGAAAGAUGGUGAACUAUGCUUGCGCAGGUUGAAGCCAGAGGAAACUCUGGUGGAGGACCGCAGCGAUUCUGACGUGCAAAUCGAUCGUCAAACGUGAGUAUAGGGGCGAAAGACUAAUC